GGUUGAUCCUGCCAGUAGCAUAUGCUUGUUUUAAAGAUUAAGCCAUGCAUGCGUAAGUAUAGACACUUUCUAUACCGUCGAAACUGCGAACAGCUCAUUACAUCAGUUAUAAUUUCUUUGAAGAUUAAAACUUUCUACAUGGAUACCCGUAGAAAAUCUAGAGCUAAUACAUGCGUAAGGCCCUGACUAGAGUUACAUCUUGGAAAGGGUGUGUUUAUUAGAUUUAAACCUGCUCUCUACAUGUUAAAAAGUGUAG
rnacentral:rRNA from 1 species